rnacentral:rRNA from 1 species
AGCAGCCGCGGUAAUUCCAGCUCCAAUAGCGUAUAUUAAAGUUGUUGCAGUUAAAAAGCUCGUAGUUGAAUUUCGGGAUCAGACUGUCGGUCGUGCCUCGGUACGCACUGGCAUUAUUGGUUCCUACCUUCUGAAGAACCGUGAUGUCAUUAAUUUGGUGUCGCGGGGAAUCAGGACUGUUACUUUGGAAAAAUUAGAGUGUUUAAAGCAGGCUUACGCUUGAAUACAUUAGCAUGGAAUAAUGAAAUAGGACGUUUGAUUCUAUUUUGUUGGUUUCUAGGAUCGACGUAAUGAUUAAUAGGGAUAGUUGGGGGCAUUAGUAUUCAAUUGUCAGAGGUGAAAUUCUUGGAUUUAUUGAAGACUAACUACUGCGAAAGCAUUUGCCAAGGAUGUUUUCAUUAAUACAAGAACGAAAGUUAGGGGAUCGAAGACGAUCAGAUACCGUCGUAG